rnacentral:snRNA from 1 species
AGCUCUCUUUUUGCCUUUUUUGGCUUAGAUCAAGAUGCAGUGACGGUUCUUCUUAGUUUAAUCUCUAGGACGUGUCUACGGGCACACUACUGAUUAACCCAAUUUUUGGAAAUAGCGCUGGUGGUCACUGAGCUCGCUCAUACCAGCGGCCACAGUGUCGUUCCUAUUGCACUACUUGGUCCUGACUCGAACACGCU